rnacentral:lncRNA from 1 species
UAUAAUAAUUAAAAAUUAUACUUUAACAUACUUUAGCUAAUUUUUUUUCCCCACGUCCUCAUUCCCCAAAAUUUCUCUACGCCGGAAGGAGACCAUCAGUGAGGAUGAAAGAGAAGGCUUUGUUUCGGCAUUUCUUGAAUUCGAGGCAGGUGGACUCACUUAAAAACUUUAGCGAGAGAAGAAGGAGAGCCGGAGCCAAUCCGGGACCUUCCCGAUGCUGGGUUGUGGAUAAAAAAGUGUUGCGGAUAAAAAAAGGACGAUUCUUGCAGGAUUCUUGCAGCGCAUCGGGGUGCGUUGGGAAGAUUCAUCUUUUCAGCUUUGUCGCUUUGUCGUAAGAAGAGAGAGAGAGGUGAGGUUUUCUUGCAGUAGUGCAAGGCAAAACGAAGCUCUUCCGCUGCUAUCAUUUCCCAAGAUUUUGUCUCCAUCCCACUGACACCAAUCGGGCGGUUCUUCGAGGUCUUUUGUCAAGUUUUGUUUUUUUUUGUCUUCUUUGCGUUUUGCAUUUUGCAUCAGGAAAGGAUCUCAGGAAAGGAACUCCUUUCCUGGGUAUAUCUUGUCACGAAAUUUCCUUUCCAGUCUGUUUACCUUCGUUAACCCAAGUUUAUUUUGCUCGGUUGCUUUAAUCUUUAAUCGGUGAAUUAUCUUUUUGUGGACAAAUUUGACAUUCCAAGAUUAAAUGGACUUAGGCAUCAGAAUUGAGAUUAAAUUUAUUUGAUGCGGCUAAUUUGGAGUUGGAGGACUCAAAAGCAUAAUAAUGUCAUUUAGUUGACAGAAGCAUGGACUCCUUCCAAUGAUGCGAUUCCAAUCCAAUGAUGCCAUCUCUAGAGAUUUUUAUUUUGUUCCAUGAACUUGUCUUUCCUCUUAAUCAAUCUCCUAUGUGUAUGUGUAUGUGUAGGGCUAUGUAUACUGUCCCAUGGCCAGUUUCCUAUUUUUUAUACCAUCCUCAGAGCAACGACGGCCCGGACGGCGGCGGCGGCGAGGGGCGGCACGACAGCUCGUCGGGCUCAAUGGCGAGACGAGCGGUGGGUGGUGGUGGUUCGGGCCAAGAGGUGGUGAGGUGGUGCGGUGAGUACUAGUAGGGAAGAAAAAGGUUUCUGUGGGGGGUGGGGAGGAGUGACGUGAUCGUCAAAAGAAAGAGAAAGGGGAAAUCACGUACGGCUAGUGUUUUGUGUUUUUUUUUUUUUUUUUUAACUCUAACCAGCUCCCUUCCGGUUCCGGUUCCAAGAAAAAGGAACCGGAACCAGAACUUUAGAACCAGGAAGAACCGGACCCUCGGGGUUCCUGUAGAACCGGGAACCGUGCUAACUGCUCACCCAGUGUCUCACGCUUUCUUCGGGAUUUUUUUUUUUUUCCGGAAUUUUCUAAGACAAGAAGUCGAAUUCCCCACGCUUUUUGUGGCUUUUCGGAAAUUUUUCGAACGACCAAAAAGUCGAAUUUAAUUUUUAACCCUCUAAAUAAAUAAAAACUCCAAUUUUUGGGGGCACAAUUUAGGCCACUUUCGACUAGAUGAUUUACCUAUUUGAGAAAAAGUAAAAGAAGUUUUAUUCAAGGCACAUAACUUUGUCAGUUUGUUUAAUAUUAUUGCAUCUCUCACGCUAUCUUAAGAUUUUUCUAAUUCAUCGUAAGGAAGCAAACUUUAUAAAAAAAAAAAUACAUCAAAAGAAAAAAAGUCAAAAAGAUGGAUAUUUAGGAGAAAGGCGGCUUCUCAAGUUUGACCUAAAAAACAACUAUUUAAUACUUACAUAAAAGGUUAAACGUCGGUGUAGAUUUGGGUGCAUGGAGUUUAGAAUUAAUAAUUCCAAAAAAUCACAUUAUUUCAAAUUUAAAAUAAGCAUCUUGACUUUACAAGAGUUUAAAGAACUAAACUAGGUGGUUAAUCCACCUUAGACGGAGAUUCCCCCCGCGGAGGAGAUCCCCUAAGGCGUGGUUUGACGGUGGCAAUGGAGGUUGAUGGAGGUGGAGUGGUUGUGGUAAAACCAACAGAGUUACCAUUUCACCAAAAUUAGAGCUAAAUUUGUUUUUUUUAGGUACGUGUACACCAGUAAUUGUAUUUUUUUAUUAAUUUUCUCAUCAAGCUAUUUUGGAACUUUUUAUUUUGCUAAUAUUGGGAGGCUAGCUCCUCUCGAGUCUGAGCAAAUUAGAAAAGGUGUUUAGAAAAUAAAUUGAAAAUAUAGGUCCCAAAAAUUAGAGCGGGGGAGAAGAAAGGAAGAGGAACCGGCGGCUCAAGAAGCCAAGAAGCCGAGGGAUGAGCAUGGCCCCACCCAGCACCCACCCUCUGCUGCUCCAUGAGAAAGGGAACAGGAGCUAGAAGAGGGAAUGACAUUGAAUAAAUAAUAAAAAAACUUAAUGAAUUUGCACUAACAAUAUUAAUAAAUAUAUUACAUAUUAAUACUUAAUAAUUAAUGAGAACAUACUUUAACAAAAAAAUUAUAGAUUGAACUGAUACUUUAAAAAAAAAAUUUAUAAUUAACGCAUUUAAAAAAAUCUAUUAUCUUCUAUAAUAAUUAAAAAUUAUACUUUAACAUACUUCAGCUAAUUUUUUUUGUCCCACGUCCUCAUUCCCCAAAAUUUCUCUACGCCGGAAGGAGACCAUCAGUGACGACGAAAGAGAAGGCUUUGUUUCGGCAGGUGGACUCACUUAAAAACUUUAGCGAGAGAAGAAGGAGAGCCGGAGCCAAUCCGGG